rnacentral:lncRNA from 1 species
GUAUCCUAUGAUCAUUUUGGUCAAGGAAAUGAAUUAUAUGAAAACUAUAUCCGCAUGGAUUCUAAGGAUGUUGUUCUACACAUUCGACCUAUCCGACCGUCGGGUACCAUUGCUAGAUGGUCACUUCGAUUGAUAUAAAAAUUUAUUUCUAUGCUACCGACUUAGGUUCGGACCUAUGAGGUCACACACAUUAGAGUUCAUGAUC